rfam:Stentor coeruleus isolate WM001 SteCoe_contig_1, whole genome shotgun sequence.
UCUGAAGAGGGUAGCGACUCUUUGUAACACAAGUGUGGGACUUGGCUGACUGGCGGCAUGUAAGGGUCAUUGUGGUUUUCCACUUACGGGGUAUGUCGAGAGUCUGUCCUAGCCAUAUCAGGGGUCGUGGGUGUGAAUAUCUGGAAGGGUAGACACGCUCAUGUUAAAGAGGGGGGGAACGCUUGAGGCUGGAAACAGAGCAGAGAUAACUCCCCGUCCUUGAUUAUGGAAGGAUCGCAGAUUUGAGUACUCUAGGUUAACCAUGUGAAACCUGCAGGUCCACAGAAGGCUUU